UGGGGAAUAUUGCACAAUGGGCGCAAGCCUGAUGCAGCCAUGCCGCGUGUGUGAAGAAGGCCUUCGGGUUGUAAAGCACUUUCAGCGAGGAGGAAGGUGGUGAAGCUUAAUACGUCAUCAAUUGACGUUACUCGCAGAAGAAGCACCGGCUAACUCCGUGCCAGCAGCCGCGGUAAUACGGAGGGUGCAAGCGUUAAUCGGAAUUACUGGGCGUAAAGCGCACGCAGGCGGUUUGUUAAGUCGAUGUGAAAUCCCCGGGCUCAACCUGGGAACUGCAUUUGAAACUGGCAAGCUAGAGUCUCGUAGAGGGGGGUAGAAUUCCAGGUGUAGCGGUGAAAUGCGUAGAGAUCUGGAGGAAUACCGGUGGCGAAGGCGGCCCCCUGGACGAAGACUGACGCUCAGGUGCGAAA
rnacentral:rRNA from 1 species